ensembl:lncRNA
GCCAGAACACAGUAGCAUGACCAAAGAACUACAGACUCUUCACAACCUGCUCAAACUCUUGGUACAGGACCUCACCACACGGGUCAAGAAGGUUUCUGUCUCAUUUCUACUCUGAAGCUCACCUUCUCCUGCUCAAACUGCUGACAAAUGUUUCUGCUGCUCUAAAGUCUGGUCUCCAGAACUUCCUAAAAACUCUCAAAGUCUCUUCUGCUGCAGGUUGCUUUGUAGAACUGUUCCAGAAAACCUCACUAAACCACAUGGAGGGGCCUCAAGAUAGUCGUCCAAAUGAAACCUUACAAAAACCAAACUAGCACAAC